rnacentral:rRNA from 1 species
AUUGAACGCUGGCGGCAUGCCUUACACAUGCAAGUCGAACGGUAGAGUAGCAAUACUUGAGAGUGGCGAACGGGUGAGUAAUGCAUCGGAACAUGCCCAGUCGUGGGGGAUAACGUAGCGAAAGUUACGCUAAUACCGCAUACGAUCUAUGGGUGAAAGCCGGGGACUCGCAAGAGCCUCGCGCGAUUGGAGUGGCGGAUGUCAGAUUAGGUAGUUGGUGGGGUAAAAGCUCACCAAGCCAACGAUCUGUAGCUGGUCUGAGAGGAGGACCAGCCACACUGGGACUGAGACACGGCCCAGACUCCUACGGGAGGCAGCAGUGGGGAAGUUUGGACAAUGGACGAAAGUCUGAUCCAGCAAUGCCGCGUGCAGGACGAAGGCCUUCGGGUUGUAAACUGCUUUUGUACGGAGCGAAAAGCUUUGGAUUAAUACUCCGAGGUCAUGACGGUACCGUAAGAAUAAGCACCGGCUAACUACGUGCCAGCAGCCGCAGUAA